UACGUAGGGCGCGAGCGUUGUCCGGAAUCAUUGGGCGUAAAGAGCUCGUAGGCGGCCGGUUGCGUCUGCUGUGAAAUCCCGGGGCUUAACCCCGGGCGUGCAGUGGAUACGGGCUGGCUGGAGGCAGGCAGGGGAGAAUGGAAUUCCCGGUGUAGCGGUGAAAUGCGCAGAUAUCGGGAGGAACACCGGUGGCGAAGGCGGUUCUCUGGGCCUGCGCUGACGCUGAGGAGCGAAAGCGUGGGGAGCGAACAGG
rnacentral:rRNA from 1 species